CCCUUAGAUGUUCUGGGCCGCACGCGUGCUACACUGAGUAAUUCAAUGGGUAAGGGAACGCUAGAGCAUUACCUAAUCUUGAAAUUUGCUCGUGAUGGGGAUCGACGGUUGCAAUUUUCCGUCGUGAACGAGGAAUACCUUGUAGGCGCAUGUCAUCAUCAUGCGCCGAAUACGUCCCUGCCCUUGGUACACACCGCCCGUCGCUCCUACCGAUUGAGUGAUCCGGUGAGGCUCUGGGACCUGGACGGAAAGAGCGUUUCGCUUGUUCUGUUUGGGAAACUUGGUCGAACCUUAUCAUUUAGAGGAAGGAGAAGUCGUAACA
rnacentral:rRNA from 1 species